rnacentral:hammerhead_ribozyme from 17 species
CAAGCGUCUGGGGUGUUGCCGCCAUCAGCCCCACUGAUGAGUCUAGGCGGCGACUCUGAGACGAAACGCAAA